rnacentral:lncRNA from 1 species
AGGUGGAGUAUCCAAACUGGGAGGACUCUCAGGGAUCGUCCACCCACGCCGUACCGAUGGAGACAGGAGGCCCUGUGUGGGGCAGGGAGCUCGCACAGAGCAGGAAUUCGGGCCCUGAAUCCUAGAGGGGGCUCUGCCAAUGCCCGGGCCCGGGAGGUUCCUUCAGUUCCUGCGUUUCCAAUCAAAUCAUCUCAAGUCAAUAAUCUUCCUUGGCAACGUUCUCGAACAGACAUGAAACGUUCUGCCGAGCGGACCCGUCUUCGCUUGUGCUACCCCUGUCCUCUGGCGGGACAUCGAGGUGACUUCCAGUUUCUCUCUGUCAUAAAAAAGGCCGUGACGAACAUCCUCAGCACCCCAAGCUUGGGUCACAUCUCCAAAGAUGCCUGCAGGGGGCGUUCCCAGAAGUGGGGGGUGAGCGGGCCAAAGGUUGUGAACCUCCUUUAAGCAACAAAAACAUCCUGCUAAAUGUCCUUUCAGAAAAAUGGCACUGAGUCCUGCCAGCAGUAGAGGAAAUUCUUCAUCUCACUUCCCCCCACCCCCACCCCCCCAGCAU